rnacentral:rRNA from 1 species
UACGUAGGUGGCAAGCGUUGUCCGGAAUUAUUGGGCGUAAAGCGCGCGCAGGCGGUCCUUUAAGUCUGAUGUGAAAGCCCACGGCUCAACCGUGGAGGGUCAUUGGAAACUGGGGGACUUGAGUGCAGAAGAGGAAAGCGGAAUUCCACGUGUAGCGGUGAAAUGCGUAGAGAUGUGGAGGAACACCAGUGGCGAAGGCGGCUUUCCUGGUCUGUAACUGACGCUGAGGCGCGAAAGCGUGGGGAGCAAACAGG